rnacentral:rRNA from 1 species
UGUGUAGGCGGUUGCUUAAGUUUGGUGUGAAAUCUCCCGGCUCAACUGGGAGGGUGCGCCGAAUACUGAGUGACUCGAGUGCGGGAGAGGAAAGUGGAAUUCCUGGUGUAGCGGUGAAAUGCGUAGAUAUCAGGAGGAACACCGGUGGUGUAGACGGCUUUCUGGACCGUAACUGACGCUGAGACACGAAAGCGUGGGUAGCAAACAGGAUUAGAUACCCUGGUAGUCCACGCCCUAAACGAUGCACAUUGGUGUGGGUCAUUCAGUUGAUCCGUGCCGGAGCUAACGCGUUAAAUGUGCCGCCUGGGGAGUACAGUCGCGAAGGCUGAA